GAAGUCCAUCGCUGCCCCACCCGCCCAAGCCGGCCCACUGCGCACCUCUGGGAGUGGUGGGCCAGGCGAAGGUGCCAUAGCGCGCGGCCCAGGCGCUGCUGCUGCAGCAGGAGCUGGCCCGGGGGCUCCCCGGCGCCGCCGUUUACAGGCGAGCGCAGGCCCAUGUUCUCGAAGUAGUGAGCCAGGAAGGCGAUCGGCUCCUCGGGCCGCGCCUCCAGCACCUUCAGCAGGGCCGCACGUAGCAUUUCCGUCACGCCGACCUGCCGCAGGAAGUCCUCCUCGCUCUCGGCCGCCCCCGCCGCCCGGGAUACCGACUGGCGGCCGCUGUCCGUGAAACCGGCCGGCGGUGGUACCGCUUGCCGCCGCUUCUCCACUGCCGCCAUCUUCGCUGAGGGCAGCGGGACCGGAAGCACCGCCAUAUUCCACUGUGCGCUAGAGCCCCCCCAAGGCGGCCAUCUUGAUUAAGGGCAGAGGGCACCGGUAUCCCGCUGGGAGACUUUGGGAAGUGACAAGGGCUUGCCUCUCCUGCCUCAAUCUCCGCAUCUGGAUGAAGGGCUUGGACCAGAACCCCUCCAAGCCCCUUCCCUGGACCACUCUGGUGAGUCACAUUUCCAUUUAUUCUUUUUUUUUUUUUUUUUUUUUUUUUUUUUUUUGAGACAGAGUUUUGCUCUUGUUACCCAGGCUGGAGUGCAGUGGCGCAAUCUUGGCUCACCACAACCUCCGCUCCUCAGGUUCAAGCGAUUCCCCUGCCUCAGCCUCUGGAGUAGCUGGGAUCACAGGCGCUUGCCACCACACCUGGCUAAUUUUGUAUUUUUAGUAGAGAUGGGGUUUCUCCAUGUUGGUCAGGCUGGCCUUGAACUCCCAACCUCAGGUGAUCUACCCACCUCGGCCUCCCAAAGUGCUGGGAUUACAGGCGUGAGCCACCACGCCCGGCCUGGUUUUUUUUUUUAGAGAUGGGGUCUCACUCUGUCGUGCAGGCUGGAGUGCAGUGUUGUGAUCAUGGAUCACUGCAGCCUCAACCUCCCAGGCUGAAGCCAUCCUCCCCACUCAGCCUCCUGAGUAGCUGGGACCACAGGUGUGCAAUACCACGCCCAGCUAAUUUUUAAAUUUUUUUGUAGAGAUGGGAGGUCUCGUAUGUUGCCCAAGCUGGUCUGGAACUCCUGUACUCAAGUGAUCCUCCCGCCUCAGCCUCCCAUGGCUGGCCUACAUUUUUGUUUCUAUUCGGCUUACUGUUCUAGUUGAUAAAGCCUAGAAUUUGUUGUUGUUGUUGAGAUGGAGUCUCGUUCUGUUGCCCAGGCUGGAGUGCAAUGGUGCGAUCUCGGCUCACUGCAACCUCCGCCUCCCGGGUUCAAGCGAUUCUCCCGCCUCAGCCUCCUGAGUAGCUGGAAUUACAGGCGCUCACCACCACGCCAGGCUAAUAUUUGUAUUUUUAGUAGGGGACGGGGUUUCACCAUGUUGGUCAGGCUAGUCUCGAUCUCCUAAUCUCGUGAUCCACCCACCUCAGCUUCCCAAAGUGCUGGGAUUACAAGCAUGAGCCACCGCACCUGGCCACAUCUAAUUUUUGUAUUUUUAAUAGAGAUGGGGUUUCACUAUGUUGGCCAGGCUGGUCUUGAACUCCUGACCUCAGGUAAUCCACCCACCUCAGCCUCCCAAAGUGCUGGGAUUACAGGCGUGAGCCCGGCCUAAAGCCUAUAAUUUAUAAAGUGCUUUGAAAUCCACAUGGUCCCUGAAAUUUACAAAGGACCCACAGUCAGGGAAGUCCACUGGACAGAUGAGGAAGCUGAGGCACCACAGUGGGCAGGAUGGGAGUCCGGGCAUUCCAGGUCCCCCACUCACUGGCAACAUCACCCCAGCAGCCUCCUUAAUCUCCACGUGCCUCAGUUUCCUCAACUGUCAAAGGGGUGAGAGUCACCUCUUUGGGCUGCCCUGAGAGCGAGUGGGUCCCGCGUUUAUUAUGAUGGGCUGUGGACGAGGAGAGUUGGGAGGAGGCUGGCGUGGAGAGAGAAGGUGCUUGGGGGCUUUCUGCCCUGGCCUUCUGCUCCAUCCCCUGUGGGACUGAUGGGGAGACUGAGGCCCGUGAGGGCCCGUGUUCUGUAAAAUAUCCCUCAAAUCCAGCCUCCUCUCUGCCCACCCCAGCCCCACCCCCACCACAAAGACCUCCCGGGUCUCCCAGCUUCUGCUUUAUCCCCGGGAGCCCUUUGCUUGAAACUCACGACCUCACGUCCAUUAACAUGGGUAUCAGGGUGCCCCAUGGGAGGACAAAUCCCUUUUUCUUUAGUGGGAGAAGCCGGCAGGGGCUUCGGGAUUGGACAGAGCGUGAAGGGAGCACCGCCAGGGCACCGGCCCACAUUAAAUGUCUUCAUCCGAGCA